CCUCGCUAACCACGCUGGAGGGGCGACUGCGGCGACCCUCGGGGCCCCCUGCGGCAUGGAGGAGCUGCUGCAGGGCCUCGGGGAAUAUCGUGAGAGCUGAGGACGGAGACGACUGGUGGUCAUCAGGGAGAUCCAGACUUGGUGGAAGUGGCAGAAGUCGCGGGGGAGGAAGCAUCUGCUGCACAAACGCCACCACAAGCUCCCAGUGCAGUCUGGGGAAUUGCAUUCUCCUUGCGUGACUUCCUGAGGCUUGACAUUCCUCCGCGUACCCUUCCUCCACCACGGUCGCUCCUCAGAGUCUCCUCCUCUCCUGGAUGUAAUCGUACAGCUCUCCCCUGCUGGCGUACUCCAUCACUAUCACGAUCUUAUCCCGGCUCUCAAAAACUGCACAGGACACAGGACACAUGUACACUACGGCAUUACACAUAUGUGUUUACAUGAGUAUUUGUGCCUUCUUCACUAUAGAUCAAUGUCCGUGUUUCUGAAAUUCUGUAAGUCUUUUGGGGGUAUUUCUACUGUUUCCAGCUGUACACUCAAAUGUUGAUUGUAACCAAAAUUUGUGGAUGAGUUUCAUGAGAUAUGAUUGCUUACUUGAUUAAAUUUUACCAUCCGAAACGUAAACCUUACUCAAAACUGCAGUAAGUACUUCAUUCGUUUGUUUGGACUAUUUGCAGAAGUGCUAGUCAAUGUUUACAGCGGUAGGACAGUUAACUCAUAAUAAGCUACUGUGAGCAUGUUCGUGGUAAUGAAACAACACUGUAUCAAACAGUGAAGCUACAAUAUAUAGACAAAAGUA